GACAGAGGUUGCAAUCGUUGUUCGGAAUCACUGGGCAUAAAGCGCACGUAGGCGGUCUGUUAAGUCAGGUGUGAAAGCCCCCGGCUCAACCGGGGAAUUGCAUUUGAUACUGGCAGGCUCGAGAACGGUAGGGGUGAGUGGAACUCCAGGUGGAGCGGUGAAAUGCGUAGAUAUCUGGAGGAACACCGGUGGCGAAAGCGGCUAUCUGGACCAACACUGACACUGAGGCACAAAAGCGUGGGUAGCAAACAGG
rnacentral:rRNA from 1 species